rnacentral:rRNA from 1 species
GUGGGGAAUAUUGGACAAUGGGCGAAAGCCUGAUCCAGCAAUGCCGCGUGAGUGAUGAAGGCCUUAGGGUUGUAAAGCUCUUUUACCCGGGAUGAUAAUGACAGUACCGGGAGAAUAAGCUCCGGCUAACUCCGUGCCAGCAGCCGCGGUAAUACGGAGGGAGCUAGCGUUGUUCGGAAUUACUGGACGUAAAGCGCACGUAGGCGGCUUUGUAAGUUAGAGGUGAAAGCCUGGAGCUUAACUCCAGAACUGCCUUUAAGACUGCAUCGCUUGAAGCCAGGAGAGGUGAGUGGAAUUCCGAGUGUAGAGGUGAAAUUCGUAGAUAUUCGGAAGAACACCAGUGGCGAAGGCGACUCACUGGCCCGUUACUGACGCUGAGGCGCGAAAGCGUGGGGAGCAAACAGGAUUAGAAACCCGUGUAGUCC